CCAGCAUCUUUGUUGGCACACCGCCUCAUGUCCACCCCCUUUGGAGCUCAGCCUCCUCGCUGACACAUCAUUCAUGUCUGGCUAUGAUACCAUCUGUAACAGCCCAAACCCACUAAUUUUUUUUUUCUUUAUUUGAAUUUUGCAUUUUAAUUUAAUGUGUCUCAAAAUUCGAAAGAAUUAGGGGAGGGUCGUUUCAUUUUUGU